CCCUUAGAUGUUCUGGGCCGCACGCGCGCUACACUGAUGCAUUCAACGAGCCUAGCCUUGACCGAGAGGUCCGGGUAAUCUUUGAAACUGCAUCGUGAUGGGGCUAGAUUAUUGCAAUUAUUAAUCUUCAACGAGGAAUGCCUAGUAAGCGUGAUUCAUCAAAUCGCGUUGAUUACGUCCCUGCCCUUUGUACACACCGCCCGUCGCUCCUACCGAUUGAGUGUGUUGGUGAGGAGUUCGGAUUGGCUCUUAGUGGUGGUUCGCCGCCACCUAGAGCUGAGAAGUUCUCCAAACCGCCCCACUUAGAGGAAGGAGAAGUCGUAACA
rnacentral:rRNA from 1 species